rnacentral:lncRNA from 1 species
UACCAGAGGAGGUAUCGGCUGGCAACCAAUUCGGCACGGUAUUGGUUGCAUACCAUGCAGUUCCGGGGCAUAUCGACAUAGGGAGAGCCGAAGAGGGAGUGGGAGAGGGAGAAAAGGAGAGAGGAAGAGAGGGAGUGGGAGGGAGAGGAAGAGGAAAGGAGGAAAGGGGAGGGUGAGGAAAAUCCUACCCCAUUCAAAUGAAGCUUUAUGGUGAUAGAUUGGUGCUUGAUUUUGUUUCAUUGGAGUUGUU